GAUGAACGCUAGCGACAGGCUUAACACAUGCAAGUCGAGGGGCAGCGGGGAUGAGAGCUUGCUCUUAUCUGCCGGCGACCGGCGCACGGGUGAGUAACACGUAUGCAACCUGCCCAUCGCAGGGGGAUAAGCAGAAGAAAUUCUGUCUAAUACCGCGUAACAUCUCGCGAAGACAUCUUUGUGGGAUACAAAGGAAGCAAUUCCGGCGAUGGAUGGGGCAUGCGGCGCAUUAGCUAGUUGGCGGGGUAACGCCCA
rnacentral:rRNA from 1 species